AAAAAACACUCCAUAUUUUUUAUACUAUUUUCUCUAAUCAUGCAUCCAUUCAACCCAAACAACUCCAACCCGAACAACCCCAACCCGAAUAAUCCCAACCCGAAUCAAGGGUUGGAUGGAAUGGGGCAUCAAGGGUUGGAUAGAAUGGGGGUGGGUAAACUUGAACCACUGGGCUACAAGAGUGAAAAAGAAAAAGAAAAUUAAAGUGUACUGCUCUAACCCUUUUUAGAAUUUUGUCAAACCGCCGGUAGCAGACUACCGUAUUCAGCAAACCCUAGUAAAUGGAAGGUGAGAUUAAUCACAACACUAUCGCCGGCGCCGAUGACGUCGACACUCCGGCGCUCACUCGCCACAGACAACGACGGAGCUAUGGCGACGGAGGAGAAAGAGGUGGCGUUAGUGACAGAAGACUGGAGGCUCAGCCAGUUUUGGUACGACUGUGAAACGGCGGAGACGGUUGCGAGAGAAGUUCAACGCACUGUAUAUGUGGUGGCGGUGGUGGUUGAAGGUGACGGUGGAGGUGGUUUGAAGGUGGAGGUGGAGGUGGUGUUGGGUUUUAAAGAGGGAGAGAGAGAGGAGGAAGAUCUGUUUGGAGACUGAUAAGUUUGAAGAUCUGAUGGGUCUCGAAGAUGUUAUAUAUGUGCUUUUUUUAAGUCAAGUAGGCCGAACCACAUCCGGGUCUAAGCCCCAAUGUUGAGGCGCGAUUUUCUCAUUUUUUUAACAUUUUAACUAAACUGUAGGUGCUCACAAAUGGCAUAGAGGUGAAGUUACAAAGGGAUACGCUUAGAAGGCAAGUAGUGUUUAAGAAAGCUAUUGAACAUGAUAAACUAUGCUAAUAGAUUUGUAUGUGUUGGAUCUUGAAUGUUCGUAUCACAGGCAACGUUUCGGGGAAGAUCUUGGGCUGUUGAAUCUGAAAGACCUUGAAUAACUCCUCAAGCACCAACUGGACUCAAACUUUGAGGCAAAUCUGGUCCAUAGGAGGUGGCUCAACUGUACGAGAAAAAAAACUAAAGGUUGGAUCCUAUAUCAAAGGCUCUUCAGUUUUUAGGAUUUCCUGGUGGAUAAGUCUGUUUGUGAUAGCCAUGAAUCUCAGAUUCUAAGGCUAUUGGGUGUGGAGGAGGGUAGUCCUCAAAGGAUGAUCCACCACGUAGGCGUCCACGUAAGCGGAUGUGGAGAUGAGCCUAAAGGGAUGGACCUAGAGUGUGGGGAUGGGCCUAAAGAAGAAAGAGAGAAGUGGAGCGUCGAGGCAGGCUUCUUAAAAAAUAGAAGAAUUCUUAUCUUAGUAGUCACACCCCUUGAUCAAUCAUAUAUAUCAUUGCCAAAUUGCUAAUAAAAUGAUGGUUGGAUUUGGGUUUAUGAACAUAAUUACUGUUGUCAAUCUUAUUUUGUGUUGAUUUGUCUCAUAUGACUUGCAUGUGAACUCUAUUUGCAAUUCUGUAGCUGGCAUAGUGGAAGAAUGUAAUCUACUUUUUUUACAUAGAGGAAAUAAGGUCACUUUUAAUAUC